AAAGAUCUGCUUCUAAGCAGAUUCAGGGUUGCAGAACUUGUAUUUUUGCACUCGUUAUUCCAUUAUGUUCACGUGGCUGUUGUUAAAUCUGCUGGCUUUACUAAUUAUCCAAAUCUCACAGAAUACGUAAACACAUAUCAGUCCUUCCAGAAGCUGCCACCAACUGCGUGACAACCUGAGCAAAACUGUCAGGUGACUGAUGAGUAGCACAGCUCUCCAAUGAGCAAUGGAAAUAAACCUGGAAGGGAAUCCUUUUUUAUUUGCAGGUGGUCGGUUUAUGCUGUGGCACAUCACUGAAGGCAGAAUCUGUGGACUGUCCAGAUGUGCCACAGAAGGUGAUGAUUGUUCAUGUAAGAGCAGGUUGAGUGACCACUAGAGGACAGUGUGCUCAAAACCAUGAGCUGGGUGCACAGGGGAGGCGUUGAGAAACAUGCCUGCUUUCCUAAGUGAUGCCAAUGCAAAGAAACAAUGGAUUUAUGGAGUGCUAGAUGCAGGAAACUUGCUGCAUAAUGCCUUUUUCCUAGCUAGAAAAAUAAAUAGCCUUUACCAGGUUUGAUAUGCCUGGAUACUUAAAUUUGUAAGUGAUUAGGUAUGAGACAUCAGCUGCUGUGUGGUGGUAAUUCGCCCAAGGUUUGUGUUGACACACAAGUCUAAAUACCUGGGAGACUUCUGAGUGAAGUAUAACCUUAAUAUGUUCUGGAAGGUAUUGUAUAAACUUGGAUUUAUAGGGUCAUUGAGAGGGGGUGGCUGGCAAAAAUAACCACAUCAAACUACGAAACAACAACAACCCUUUUACUCCAAGUGCUCAAGUGACAAAGUGGCACUGGAACAAGUUGCCCAAGGAGGCUGUGGAUGUCCCCUCCAUGGAGGCAUUUAAGGCCAGGCUGGAUGUGGCACUGGGCAGCCUGGGCUGGUGGUUGGUGGCCCUGCAUAUGGUGGGGGGGCUGAAACCAGACGAUCAUUAUGAUCCUUUUCAACCCAGGCCAUUCUAUGAUUCACCCCUCAGUUGCCCCUUUGUUUUUCUAAAGCCCCAGCGUUUCUCUGAGUUACAUCUUUGUAAUCUGAAACUGCAUUAACUAUGAAGUCUUUGGUUUAGUAUCUGAUUAAUUUCCUAUAGCGUGACAAAAUGCAUCCAGUCAGGGGAUCUUUGGUCUUUAUUUCCAGGUUAUUUAUCUGUAUUAGUCUCCCUUUUAAAUUCUCUUAUCAGUAGCGUUCAAAGUUCCCAGGAGUGAUGGGAAAUAACACCAGAUGUUAUACAUACAUGCAGUAACUGUCCCCAAAGUUGUACUGUGUGCUAUGUUUAACAGAGGCUAUUUGAUAUGAUGCCAGCCUUAGUUUGCAGUCUGGGCUAAAGCUGAAGUUUGGGCUUAAAAGCUUGACUUCAGGCUGUCAGAAUCCCAGUGAUCUUUUUUUGGUCAUUGUCCAUAAAGAUGCAUUGUGUGGGUUUUUAGAUAAACACCUACAGAGUUAACCUGCUGUUUGAGAUAAGUAACAAGGCAAGAAUAAAUAACUACAAAUUAGGACUUAAUAUUUCAACGCUGCAAUUAAAGAGGGGUGGGAACAGCCUGAUCUGCAGCGAUGUACAUAAUGGCAGAGAGGGUGGGCGGUUGGACUGUCAAACUGCCUUAAUUUAAUUGCAAACACAUGCUGAUGAGUCCCCUCCUCCUGGACCUCAGGGCUGGGAAACUUUCUUUUUUGUGUUUGUGUGUGUGUGUCAGCUCCCUGCAGCUCAGAAUUGAGGAAAAUCCACUGCAGCGAACACCAUGCAGAUCAAAUCUUCAGCUCUUCUGGGCUUUUUGUGUUUUCUCCUCCUGCCUCGUUCCUCCUGUCCAUGUCCUCCUCGCUGCCUGUGCUUCAGGACUACAGUAAGAUGCAUGCAUCUGAUGUUGGAAACCAUCCCUGACAUCCCACCUCAGACCAGCAUACUAGAUUUACGCUUCAACCACAUCAGGGAGAUACAACCUGGGGCCUUCAGGAGGCUGAAGAACCUCAGCACGCUGCUGCUGAACAAUAAUCAGAUAAAGCAUAUCGUGAGAAGAUCCUUUGAAGAUCUGGAGAACCUGAAGUACCUCUACCUUUAUAAAAACGAAAUUCAGAGCAUCCAGCAACAUGCCUUCCAUGGGCUGCACUCCCUGGAGCAGCUCUACCUGCACUUCAACAACCUGGAAACGCUGGAGCCAGAGACGUUCAGUGACCUACCCAAACUUGAAAGGCUAUUCUUGCACAACAACAAAAUUUCCAGGAUUCAUCCAGGGACAUUCUCUCAACUGGAAUCCCUCAAACGACUGAGGCUGGAUUCCAAUGCACUGCUCUGCGACUGCGACCUGCUGUGGCUGGCUGAGCUGCUACAGAAAUACGCUGAGCUGGGCAGCAUCCAAACUGCAGCCACCUGCGAGGCCCCACGGGAGCUGCACGGCCGCUCCAUCGUCACCCUGACUGCCCAGGAGUUCAACUGUGAGAGGCCUCGCAUCACCUCGGAGCCCCAUGACGUCGAUGUCCUCUUGGGAAACACGGUUUAUUUCACGUGCAGGGCAGAAGGCAACCCAAAGCCUGCCAUUAUUUGGCUCCACAACAAUAAUAAGAUUGACAUGAAAGAUGACAACCGCUUGAAUCUGCUGCAAGAUGGCACCCUGAUGAUCCAGAAUACCAAGGAGUCAGACAAAGGCGUCUACCAGUGCAUGGCCAAGAACAUCGCUGGGGAGGUCAAGACCCAAGAAGUUGUUCUGCGCUAUUUUGGCACCCCAUCCAAGCCCACUUUUGUGAUCCAGCCGCAAAACACUGAAGUGCUGGUUGGGGAAAGCGUCACCUUGGAGUGCGGGGUCUCUGGGCACCCCCACCCUCGCAUCAGCUGGACACUUGGCACAGGCUCUCCUUUACCGCAGGAUCCCCGCUUCGCUAUCACCAGCUCUGGAGGACUCUUCAUCCAGAAUGUCACCUUCUCAGACCAAGGGCAGUACAACUGUAAUGCCAGCAACACUGAGGGAUCCAUCCAGGCAACAGCGAGGAUCAUAGUGCAAGAUUCUCCCAGGUUUCUUGUCAUCCCCACUGAUCAGACAGUAACUGAGGGACAAAGUGUGGAUUUCCCAUGCUCUGCUGAGGGUCACCCCCCACCUGUGAUUGCCUGGACGAGAGCAGGGGGACCGCUGCCAAGCGACCGGAGGCACAGCAUCCUCUCCACAGGGACCCUGCGAGUGAUGAGGGUGGCCCUGCACGACCAAGGGCAGUAUGAGUGCCACGCCAUCAGUGCCAUUGGUGUGAGGACCCUGCCUGUGCAGCUGGCCGUGACCCCACGGGUGAUUCCUGUGUUCCUUCACCCCCCACAAGAUGUGGUGGCAGAGACAGGCCAGGACGUGGCAAUCACCUGCGCUGCCCAGGGGGACCCACGACCCACCAUCACCUGGGUGAAGGAGGGGAUUCAGAUCACAGAGAGCGGCAAGUUCCACGUGAGCCAGGACGGGACCCUCUCCAUCCAGGAUCUUGGUGUGGCUGACCAAGGCAGAUAUGAGUGUAUAGCACGGAACCCCUUUGGCUUCACCUCCAGCGCCAUGCAGCUCACCAUCACCGCCACGGAUGUCGGUCGGAGUGGUGACACAUUCGUAGCCACAUCCCUGCGGGAAGCCAUCAGCAGUGUGGACCAUGCCAUCAAUUCAACACGCACUGAGCUAUUCAGCAGACGCCCCAAGACACCCAACGACCUGCUGGCCCUCUUCCGCUACCCACGGGAUCCUUACACCAUUGAAACAGCCAGGGCGGGUGAGAUCUUUGAAAGGACUUUGCAGCUGAUUCAGGAGCACGUGCAGCAAGGUUUGAUUGUGGAUAUGAAUGUCACAGGUUAUCGUUACAACGAUUUGGUGUCUCCUCACUACCUGAACAUGAUUGCCAACCUGUCUGGCUGUUCUGCUCACCGCCGCACACCCAACUGCUCUGAUAUCUGCUUCCACAAGAAAUACAGGACCCACGAUGGCUCCUGCAACAACCUGCAGCACCCGAUGUGGGGAGCUUCUCUCACUGCCUUCCAGAGGCUCCUCAAACCUGCUUACCAGAAUGGAUUUAACCUCCCACGGGGGUUUUCCUUGGCAGAAGAUGCCAGGGAUCUGCCCCUUCCCUUACCCCGGCUUGUCUCCACCGCUAUGGUCGGGACUGAGACCAUCACCCCAGAUGAGCAGUUCACACAUAUGCUCAUGCAGUGGGGCCAGUUUCUGGACCAUGACAUGGACCAGACGGUGGCAGCCAUCAGCAUGUCCCGUUUCUCAGAUGGAGCGCCCUGCAGCCAGGUAUGCAGCAAUGACCCACCCUGCUUCUCCGUCAUGAUCCCUGCCAACGACCCACGCGUCAGGAAUGGACGCUGCAUGUUCUUUGUGCGCUCCAGCCCCGUGUGUGGCAGCGGGAUGACCUCCCUGCUGAUGAACUCUGUCUAUGCCAGAGAGCAGAUCAAUCACUUGACCUCUUACAUUGAUGCUUCCAAUGUGUAUGGCAGCACCGAGCAGGAAUCACGUGAGCUGCGGGAUUUGAGCAACCAGAAUGGGUUGCUGAAGCGAGGGAGGAUGGUGCCCAGCUCAGGGAAGCACCUCCUGCCCUUCGCUGUGGGGCCUCCCACUGAAUGUAUGAGGGACGAGAAUGAGAGUCCUGUGCCAUGCUUUCUGGCUGGAGAUCACCGUGCCAAUGAGCAGCUAGGGCUCACGGCCAUGCACACACUGUGGUUCAGGGAGCACAACCGUGUUGCUGCUGAGCUGUCUGUCCUCAAUCCCCAUUGGGAUGGGGACCUCCUGUACCACGAGGCGCGGAAGAUCGUGGGUGCCCAGAUGCAGCACAUCACUUAUGCCCACUGGCUCCCUAAGAUCCUUGGGGAAGCAGGGAUGAAGAUGCUGGGUGAGUACAAAGGCUAUGACCCCAACGUCAAUGCGGGGAUUCUCAACGCUUUCGCCACUGCUGCCUUCCGCUUUGGGCACACUUUGAUCAACCCCAUCCUGUACCGGCUGAACGAAACCUUCCAGCCCAUCCGCCAGGGCCACGUCCCCCUGCACAAGGCCUUCUUCUCCCCUUUCAGGAUCACGCAGGAGGGUGGGAUUGAUCCACUCCUCCGUGGGCUCUUUGGGGUUCCUGGGAAAAUGCGGGUCCCCUCGGAACUCCUCAACAUGGAGCUGACAGAGAAGCUCUUCUCCAUGGCACACUCUGUAUCCCUGGACUUGGCUGCUAUCAAUAUCCAGAGAGGGCGAGACCAUGGCAUCCCACCUUACAAUGACUUCAGGGUCUUCUGCAACCUCUCAUCUGCACAAGAGUUUGAGGACCUCAGAAAUGAGAUAAAGAACUUGGAGAUCAGGGAAAAGCUCAGGAGCUUAUAUGGAACUACCAAAAAUAUUGACCUGUUUCCAGCCCUGAUGGUGGAAGAUCUUGUCCCUGGUACCAGAGUUGGACCAACGCUGAUGUGCCUGUUAACAACACAGUUCAGAAAGCUGAGGGAUGGAGAUAGAUUUUGGUACGAGAACCCAGGAGUAUUCACGCCAGCACAGCUGACUCAGCUCAGACAGACAUCCCUUGCUCGUAUCAUCUGUGACAACAGCGACCACAUCCAGCAGCUCCAGAGGGACGUCUUCCGUGUGGCAUCGUACCCACAGGGCAUGGUGGGCUGCGAGGAGAUCCCUGCUGUGGAUCUCCGCUUCUGGCAGGACUGCUGCGAGGACUGCCAAACACGUGGACAAUUCAGGGCUCUUUCUCAGCGGUUCCGAAGCAAGAGGUCUCCUGGAUUCAGCUACCCUGAGGAAAACCCUGCCAAGCACAAGCCUGCCUCCCCCAGCAAUGAGGCGCCUUCUCCAAGCUCUUCUUCCAGAGAGAAUCUCGAGUCCCUUGUGGCUGAACUGGAGAAGGCAGUCACUUCCCUACGGAAACAGGUGCACGUACUAGAGAGCCAGCUGAGGUGGCACCAUGGGAACACCAGCACAUAUGGACAGGGAAAGAAGACUGAGGACAAAUGGAGGAAAAGUUGACCAUAUUGCCUCCUCAUAUGAGGUCAGUGUGUUUGUUCUGGGCUAGGGUCCUGUAGGUGGCUCAGUGCUUGUGGAGGGACACCUGAACAGCCUUCAUAUACAGAAAAGACUUGCAGUAAGGAAUGGAGCAAUCCAGUGAUGACUGGGACGAGGUAAUAGGCUUAGGCUUAAAUGCAGCAGGUUAGACACCAUUUCUAACAGUAAUGAUUAGUGACUCACUGGAAUGAGUUGUCUGGGGACCUUGUGGCAUAUCCAUAUCUGGAGGUCUUUUAAGAACUGGUUUGGCAAAGAUGGGGAAAGACAUAAGUAUAGGACUUAUGUGGACUGGGUGAGGUGUCUGAGAUUUAUUCUCCAAGGACCGUGGAUAGAUUUCUUCUAGCAACACCUAAUGCCACAACCCCAAACCCAACAGCCUCCAGAGGACCUUUGUGGGGAGAGAUAGCACAAAGUGCAGUGACGGAGCAGAUGGACUGGUUCCUCCUUAAGGUGUCUGGUGAUCUGCACUCUUGCUCUCCAUCAGCCAGUCCAACCCACUCUUUGAGGGUUCCAAGCAACCCAUGAGCCCCCACGAUGCUCUGCCACCUCCUGUGCCACCUCCUGUCCCAGAACAGCUGUCCUUCUGCCUGUAUUGAGCCCUGCACUGCAGCCCCUGCACCGCUCCUGCCCUUUUCAGCCUCUGAGGAUGAGCUUUGCCACCACCCUGUCCUGCUUAGAUGGUUCCAAGAUGCCACCUCCUUCCACAGCCCUCAAGAAAUGGAGGAUAAUUGAAGCUGCCUUAGAAUUCACUGUUGUGCCUUUCUCCUCUUCCCAUCCAUCCCUGAUAUCGUCUACUGACCCCUGGUCUGAAAUGUCAACUGAAGCAAUUCAUUAUGAGACAAAACCUCUCUCUCAGACGCACUGUCUUCAAGGAAACGUCUGGAAAAAUCUGUAUGCGGUUUAAAAAAGAAAAAUGGAACAAGCAUGAGAUAUUCUAAUGCUAACAGCAAGAAUCAAAAGGAACCCGAGGGCCCUGGAAAGCACCGUGUGGGCUGGGCUGGGUCCAUGCCAGCAGCAGUGAGCAGGAUCUGGAGCCUGGGGAAGUCUUGUAGCUGCUUGGGUGCUUCAGGACAGGCUGUGGCAGCCCACCGUGCUGCUGCCUGCUGCCGUGCUUUGCCACCUGACUGGUCACGGGUGGCACAUCCUCAGUGCUGUAACCCUAUGAGUGACCUCCCAUUGCAUUCCUGGUGCUGAAAAACAUUUUCCUCGACACAAGCUGCAUUCUCCAGGGUUCUGCCCUUCUGAGGUUUUAAUUGGAUUUAUGUUUCCCUUCCUUUUUUGUUGUGUUUUGUUUUUAAAUUCCCAAUGGCUCUUCACUGGAAGACGUGUUUUGAGUGUAAAUUUAACAGGACCUGGAACAGAACCUCUGAUGAUUAGAUGUAAUGGGUGCUCUCAUUAGUGAGGGGGAGCUGCUGGUUUCUGUCAAUUAGUACUGGAGAACACGAUGUGCAGUAUUUGACACACUGAUGAACGCGAAGUGCUGCUUGUGUUUAUUGCUCCUAGGUGCUCUGCAACUAAACCAGGACUGUGCAACCAGCUCUCCUGAGCAGGUCUUCUGGUUUCCUUGCUCUUUGGAGGUGCUUUUUAGCGGUGCUAGAACUGAGGUCUCUGUGCAUCCACCACAGCCGCUUAUCUGUGGGCAGAUUGGUUCUUAAUCCAUCUGCAUAAGCCAAGCACAGGGGCCGAGAGAAGAUACUUGAUCUGUUUGAUAGCCGUGCCUUAUCUUUUACACUUUUCCUGUGUCUUCCCACCUGCCUUCCCCAUUGCAAGGACCCACAUCUUUUAUGAACAUGCUUUCCCUCGUCUUCUCCUCUUUGUUUAGGUGUGUGAUAGUACCAAAGGGAUUCAAGGCAGCAGAGAUGCUCCUGAAACUUAAUAGGAAAAUAAAAAAGAUAGGAGAGAAAAAAAGAUUGUGAUUUCUCAGCUGUUUUCCUGGUGUGGGACUCCGAGCUGUGUGUGCGUGUCCUGUGCAGACAGAGGCUGCAGUGAUGAGUGUGUGUUAUUGACUGUCUGGUAAGCUCAGAGGCAGCAUUUAGUCCUCGGGGAUGUUUGUCACGUUGAAGUACUCUUUCAUUUAGGUGCAAAUCAGGGUCCAAAGCCUUGCGUGUUUUAUAUCAGCUGCACUCGUCUCUUGCUUGUACCACCAGAGAAUCUAAUCUGGCACAGGUCAACAAAGGUAAAUCAGUCUCCAGUCUCCUUCUGCAAACCACAAGUUUACCAAGUCCCCAUUCAAAGCAGCGAGACAUAAAUGGUUGGUGCUUGAUCUAAUCAGAUAAUCUCUUUAAAUGCAUAAGCGAGCUGAGCAUCUCCUUCCCCACAGAGCAUGACAUGCAGUGCAGCCUUGUCACCCCACCUGCUGCAAACCCUGAGCUCCAUCCUCCGUUCUUCUCCUAGGGCUGAGGUGGGAAGAGUGUGCGGAAAUUAAACAUCAAUGCAUGCCCCCAACCAGCCAAGCUGUGUGCUGUGAGUGGGGGAAGGUCUGGAGGAGUUGCCCAUAGAUCCAGGUGCUAUCUUGUGAAGAAUGUUUUGCUGAAGACUUGCUUUUUUCUACAUCCCCUCUGUGCAGCAAGGUGAGGCCACUGCAGUGAAUUAAUGCAUUCAUUUGUCUUAGAGAACCUCUUUGAAAACCCAUCUGCAAGCCCAAAAUGAACUCCCCCCCCAGCCAUGACAGCAGGGGAGGAUUGAAAUAACAAGCUCAAGGCUGGGAGCAGAGUUCCUGGGGGAGCUGCUAUAGCCAAGCACUGCCAGGCACAGACCUCCCACUAAUUAGAUGGAACAGUUAAGUGACAAAACCCAUGU